CCUGCCGGACCUUACUGCUAUCGGGGUGGGACUAAGACAUGCGAGUCGAGCGUCUCUAGCUAUGUUGAGACGCGGCAUACGGCUCAGUAACACGUGGCUAACCUACCCUCAGGACGGGGGACAAACCCGGGAAACUGGGGCUAAUAUCCGAUAGGCGAGGAAUCCUGGAAUGGUUCUUCACCCAAAGGACAUUGGAAACAUGCUUUCUCUGUCGCCUGGGGAUGGGGCCGCGUCCGAUCAGGUUGUUGGUGAGGUAAUGGCUCACCAAGCCUUUAACCGGUACGGGCCGUGAGAGCGGUAGCCCGGAGAUGGGUACUGAGACAAGGACCCAGGCCCUACGGGGCGCAGCAGUCGCGAAAACUCCGCAAUGCACGAAAGUGUGACGGGGCUACCCCGAGUGCCGUCCGCUGAGGAUGGCUUUUCCUUGGUGUAACUAGCCGGGGGAAUAAGGAGAGGGCAAGACUGGUGUCAGCCGCCGCGGUAAUACCAGCUCUCCGAGUGGUAGGGAUGAUUAUUGGGCUUAAAGCGUCCGUAGCCGGUUUAGCAAGUUUCCUGUUAAAUUCAGCGACCUAAUCGUUGAGCCGCGGGAAAUACUACUAGGCUAGGAGGCGGGAGAGGUCGACGGUACUUCUGGGGUAGGGGUGAAAUCCUAUAAUCCCGGGAGGACCACCAGUGGCGAAGGCUGUCGACUAGAACGCGCUCGACGGUGAGGGACGAAAGCUGGGGGAGCGAACCGGAUUAGAUACCCGGGUAGUCCCAGCUGUAAACGAUGCGGGCUAGGUGUUGGGGUGGCUACGUGCCACUUCAGUGCCGCAGGGAAGCCAUUAAGCCCGCCGCCUGGGGAGUACGGCCGCAAGGCUGAAACUUAAAGGAAUUGGCGGGGGAGCACCACAA
rnacentral:rRNA from 1 species